AGUGGCUGGGGCAACCCAGUCAGAUGGGCGGGGUACAAAUAAUAAAAUUAUUAUUAUUAUCAUUAUCAUCAUCAUUAUUAUUAUUAUUAUUAUUAUUUUGUUAUUUGUACCCCACCCAUCUGGCUCGGUUUCCCCAGCCACU